GAAAUGCGAUAAGUAGUGUGAAUUGCAGAAUUCAGUGAAUCAUCGAAUCUUUGAACGCACAUUGCGCCCCUUGGUAUUCCAUGGGGCAUGCCUGUUCGAGCGUCAUUUGUACCCUCAAGCUCUGCUUGGUGUUGGGUGUUUGUCCCCGUCUCCGCGAGUGGACUCGCCCCAAAGUGAUUGGCAGCCGGCGUACUGGUCCCGGAGCGCAGCACAUGUCGCGCAAACGAGUGCCUUGGUACGGCGGCGUCCAUAAGCCCCUCUCUCACGCUCUUGACCUCGGAUCAGGUAGGGAUACCCGCUGAACUUAAGC
rnacentral:misc_RNA from 1 species